rnacentral:lncRNA from 12 species
AUGCCCUUAGAACACACUAAAAAUUACACAUACCUCGGAAUAAACAUCAGUAACACAGGAAACUUUAACAAGGCUGUGAACAACCUGAGAGAAAAGGCACAAAGGGCUUUUUACGCAAUCAAGAAAAAUAUAAAAUUAAAAAUAAUCCAAUCAGUUAUAGAACCAAUCGCACACUAUGGAUGUGAGGUCUGUGGUCCACUCACAAACAAACACCCAAUAGAGACUCUGCAGGCAGAAUUCUUUAAAAAUAUUCUUUGUGUACAACGAAAAACUCCACACAAUGCCUGCAGAGCAGAAUUAGGACUGUACCCACUAAUAAUUAAAAUCCCCCCCAAAAAAGCCAUUAAAUUCCAUGCACACCUAAAAAGCAGUCAUACUGAGACCCUCCACCAUAAAGCCUUCAACUACCAAGAACUGAACCCAGAGAAAAGCCCCCUCAGCCAGCUGGUCUCAGAACUGACUUUACAAUCCAAAAACCCAGCUAGACUAAAUCAAAUCAUUAAAACACAGAAAGAGAAAUAUCAGGAACAUUGGACAGAAGCAAGUAAAUUAGAAUGCUAUCUGUCUCUAAACAGAGAAUAUAAAUUGGCAGAAUACCUAAACACAGUGGCAGACCCUAAACUAAGAAAAGUCCUGACCAUGUACAGACUCAGUGACCAUAACCUCACUAUAAAGACAGGCAGACACAGACAGACCUGGCUACCAAAAGAAGACAGAUUGUGUCCACACUGCACACAACAUGAAGUGGAAACAGAACUGCACUUUUUAACAACAUGCCCUAAUUAUACACAAAUUAGGGAAACUUUCUUCCCCCAAUCCACAAACCAGCACAAAGACUUCAACCAGAUACAACAAAAGGACAAACUGCCCUACAUUCUGGGAGAAACCUCAACAAGCUCUAACCUGACUGCAAGGUACGUCAAGUCCUGCCAUGAUACAAGGACAAGCAGUAGAACAGAACCACAAGUCACUGCCGGAAAAAAAACACUGUUUUUUUUUUUUCAAAAUGUCUGCCAGACAUAUUGA